rnacentral:other from 1 species
UUUCCUCUGCCAUGUUCGUGAUGUCGGCGUUUAAUUCCUGGGAGCCGAUGAGAGGUCCGCAGGGAGCUCAAUGUGGUCGCGGCGCAUGUAGGCCGGUCAGCGUGCCGGUAACGUAACCCGAGGCUCAAGCACCCACUUUGAUCGCGGGCUUCCACGAUAUCGCGCCGCCACGGCAUUGCGGCGGAGGAGAU